AAACAUAAAUAAUUAAUUACAGACUAAUUAAAAGCAAAACAAAUCUUCACCUUUUUUUCUUAAAUGUACCAAGAUUAUCAAAAUUCCUCAGGUCACUAGGAAGGGAUUUCCAAAGAUUAGGACUAUAGUAAAGAAAUUCACUUGAUUCACUUAAUUGAUGCAUGAUUUCUGAUGCAUCAAAAGUUUGUUUGUUAUUUUAUUUAAUUUUUUUUACAGAAUUUUGACCUUUUGAUUGUUUACUGGUUAUUUCAUGAAAUCCCCCAUUGCAUAGAAGUUUUUGGUAAUAUUCCCACUGAGGAAUGUUUUAAUUUUAUGUUUCAGUGAAAUUUUUACACAAACAGUGACUGCAAUUUUAAAUUGUAUCCCUUAAUGUAUUCUAGAGCUAUUAGAUAAAUAGCAUGACUCCAUCUAUAAUGAAGAAAGGCAGUUCAUCUGCGUUAAUCUGUGUUAAUUCACUUGAUUCGUUUUGCUACAUCUGUGGAAGCUAUACUCUACAAAAACAAAGGCAAAGAGAUUGUGAAGAAAGCUUCCAUGUAUGCUUUGGCAUCAAGUCAUGGGCACCGCAUACAGUGUGCAACACGUGUGGAAGGUUUUAGAAACUGGAGUAAAGACCUGAUAGAAUCUCUUCACUUUGGAAUUCCCAUGGUGUGGUGUGAGCCCAAACAUCAUGUUGAUGACUGCUACAUUUGCAGGCUGAGUUUCAAGAAUGCAUAGCUGUGUGAUUACACAUCCAGGAUGAAACGUUCUCUAGACAAUCAAACAGGAAGAUAAAAGUCCUAAUAGACUAUAUAAUAAACAUGUGUACUCAGCUAGGACUGGAACAAUAUAAAAUGGAAGCUAACGCAGUUAAUUGUAACCAAUAAAGUAGGUUUUUGUGUGUCAAUAAUUGGUGUUAACAUCGAUAAAGAACCAAUAUUGAUAUGCUACCCUCUUCUUUAUUCACUCUGGUCAUUAAGUGCUGUUUCUGUGCUAUGAUGAGCCCCAAAGUGAGACUGAAAUACCUCCAAUAUCCUAUUGCCUAAUAAACUUCCCAAAAUUCU